rnacentral:pre_miRNA from 1 species
GGUCUAGUGCUGUGUGGAAGACUAGUGAUUUUGUUGUUCUGAUAUAAAAUGACAACAAAUCACAGCCUGCCUCAUAGCGUGGACU